CUUCAUACUGUUCACAGCUAGUACAUAACCAUCCACAGAAAUCCAACCCCAUCCAGCCUUGUGGUAGCAUUGUUGAUAAGAAAACUAUGUGCAAAUUUCCUGAUGCAGGGACAGGUAUUCUUCUAUUGUUUCCUUCAGACAGGAUACAAGUGAAUCCUGCCCUACCCUUACAAUAGGUUGUCUUGAAGCCUACAACAGUGGUUGUCUUACCCAGCACUCUUUUGGUGACUAAAGGAUAAUAAUUUAUAAGAAGACACAAGCACUAUGUACACUUUGGAGGAUUUGCAGUAAAUUUUAUUGUUAUUAACAAUUGUUUUAUGGUUAUUAAUUGUUUUUUAAUAAUCAUUGUAUAAUGGCACGGAUUGGAUGCAAAAAUGUAUAUUUAUAGUUGCACUAGACCUGUGGGGCGAAUAAUGGGUUAAUACUCUAAGUAGAAUGGUAACCUGUACGCCCACUUUCUUUUUCCCUCCCACCUAUUUCCUAUAAAGAUGGUGUGUUAAUUGGUAUGUUGUACACUUGACAAAGGGCAAUUUUGCUCGAAACAUGUUGUGUGAAUAAAGAAUUUUUGCAGCAAAGUUCUGCGUCUACCUUGGACUGUUUCACCAACUAUAUCUUCAAUUGAAUGCCAGUACCAAGGACGAGGUACAGAAACAGACCAUACAGGUUAGAAAAAACUGAGGGGAUAAAUACCACAGCCAGUGGAAACAAAAGAAC